GGGGGGGGGGUGCUAUACAUGCAGUCGAACGCACAGCGAAAGGUGCUUGCACCUUUCAAGUGAGUGGCGAACGGGUGAGUAACACGUGGACAACCUGCCUCAAGGCUGGGGAUAACAUUUGGAAACAGAUGCUAAUACCGAAUAAAACUUAGUGUCGCAUGACACAAAGUUAAAAGGCGCUUCGGCGUCACCUAGAGAUGGAUCCGCGGUGCAUUAGUUAGUUGGUGGGGUAAAGGCCUACCAAGACAAUGAUGCAUAGCCGAGUUGAGAGACUGAUCGGCCACAUUGGGACUGAGACACGGCCCAAACUCCUACGGGAGGCUGCAGUAGGGAAUCUUCCACAAUGGGCGAAAGCCUGAUGGAGCAACGCCGCGUGUGUGAUGAAGGCUUUCGGGUCGUAAAGCACUGUUGUAUGGGAAGAACAGCUAGAAUAGGAAAUGAUUUUAGUUUGACGGUACCAUACCAGAAAGGGACGGCUAAAUACGUGCCAGCAGCCGCGGUAAUACGUAUGUCCCGAGCGUUAUCCGGAUUUAUUGGGCGUAAAGCGAGCGCAGACGGUUUAUUAAGUCUGAUGUGAAAGCCCGGAGCUCAACUCCGGAAUGGCAUUGGAAACUGGUUAACUUGAGUGCAGUAGAGGUAAGUGGAACUCCAUGUGUAGCGGUGGAAUGCGUAGAUAUAUGGAAGAACACCAGUGGCGAAGGCGGCUUACUGGACUGCAACUGACGUUGAGGCUCGAAAGUGUGGGUAGCAAACAGGAUUAGAUACCCUGGUAGUCCACACCGUAAACGAUGAACACUAGGUGUUAGGAGGUUUCCGCCUCUUAGUGCCGAAGCUAACGCAUUAAGUGUUCCGCCUGGGGAGUACGACCGCAAGGUUGAAACUCAAAGGAAUUGACGGGGACCCGCACAAGCGGUGGAGCAUGUGGUUUAAUUCGAAGCAACGCGAAGAACCUUACCAGGUCUUGACAUCCUUUGAAGCUUUUAGAGAUAAGAAAUGUUCUCUUCGGAGACAAAAUGACAAGUGGUGCAUGGUCGUCGUCAGCUCGUGUCGUGAGAUGUUGGGGUUAAGUCCCGCAACGAAGCGCAACCCCUAAUGGUUAGUUUGCC
rnacentral:rRNA from 1 species